AACGCUGGCGGCGUGCUUAACACAUGCAAGUCGAACGGAAAGGCCCUGCUUUUGUGGGGUGCUCGAGUGGCGAACGGGUGAGUAACACGUGAGUAACCUGCCCUUGACUUUGGGAUAACUUCAGGAAACUGGGGCUAAUACCGGAUAGGAGCUCCUGCUGCAUGGUGGGGGUUGGAAAGUUUCGGCGGUUGGGGAUGGACUCGCGGCUUAUCAGCUUGUUGGUGGGGUAGUGGCUUGCCAAGGCUUUGACGGGUAGCCGGCCUGAGAGGGUGACCGGCCACAUUGGGACUGAGAUACGGCCCAGACUCCUACGGGAGGCAGCAGUGGGGAAUAUUGCACAAUGGGCGGAAGCCUGAUGCAGCAACGCCGCGUGCGGGAUGACGGCCUUCGGGUUGUAAACCGCUUUCGCCUGUGACGAAGCGUGAGUGACGGUAAUGGGUAAAGAAGCACCGGCUAACUACGUGCCAGCAGCCGCGGUGAUACGUAGGGUGCGAGCGUUGUCCGGAUUUAUUGGGCGUAAAGGGCUCGUAGGUGGUUGAUCGCGUCGGAAGUGUAAUCUUGGGGCUUAACCCUGAGCGUGCUUUCGAUACGGGUUGACUUGAGGAAGGUAGGGGAGAAUGGAAUUCCUGGUGGAGCGGUGGAAUGCGCAGAUAUCAGGAGGAACACCAGUGGCGAAGGCGGUUCUCUGGGCCUUUCCUGACGCUGAGGAGCGAAAGCGUGGGGAGCGAACAGGCUUAGAUACCCUGGUAGUCCACGCUGUAAACGGUGGGUACUAGGUGUGGGGUCCAUUCCACGGGUUCCGUGCCGUAGCUAACGCUUUAAGUACCCCGCCUGGGGAGUACGGCCGCAAGGCUAAAACUCAAAGGAAUUGACGGGGCCCCGCACAAGCGGCGGAGCAUGCGGAUUAAUUCGAUGCAACGCGUAGAACCUUACCUGGGUUUGACAUGGAUCGGGAGUGCUCAGAGAUGGGUGUGCCUCUUUUGGGGUCGGUUCACAGGUGGUGCAUGGCUGUCGUCAGCUCGUGUCGUGAGAUGUUGGGUUAAGUCCCGCAACGAGCGCAACCCUUGUUCACUGUUGCCAGCACGUUAUGGUGGGGACUCAGUGGAGACCGCCGGGGUCAACUCGGAGGAAGGUGGGGAUGACGUCAAGUCAUCAUGCCCCUUAUGUCCAGGGCUUCACGCAUGCUACAAUGGCUGGUACAGAGAGUGGCGAGCCUGUGAGGGUGAGCGAAUCUCGGAAAGCCGGUCUCAGUUCGGAUUGGGGUCUGCAACUCGACCUCAUGAAGUCGGAGUCGCUAGUAAUCGCAGAUCAGCAACGCUGCGGUGAAUACGUUCCCGGGGCUUGUACACACCGCCCGUCAAGUCAUGAAAGUUGGUAACACCCGAAGCCGGUGGCCUAACCGUUGUGGGGGAGCCGUCGAAGGUGGGACUGGUGAUUAGGACUAA
rnacentral:rRNA from 1 species